AUCAAUGGUGGGCUGUAUGGGGCCGACUUCAGUCGGGCUGGUUCCCUUGAUUGCCAGUUGUAGCAACCCUGUACAGUCCACCGCCAGC
rnacentral:antisense_RNA from 17 species